rnacentral:rRNA from 1 species
CCUACGGGAGGCAGCAGUGGGGAAUAUUGCGCAAUGGGCGAAAGCCUGACGCAGCGACGCCGCGUGAGGGAUGAAGGUCUUCGGAUCGUAAACCUCUGUCAGCAGGGAAGAACGGUCACUGUGCUAAUCAGCAGUGAAUUGACGGUACCUGCAAAGGAAGCACCGGCUAACUCCGUGCCAGCAGCCGCGGUAAUACGGAGGGUGCGAGCGUUAAUCGGAAUUACUGGGCGUAAAGCGCUCGUAGGCGGUAUGUCAAGUCAAGGGUGAAAUCCCCGCGCUCAACGUGGGAACUGCCUUUGAAACUGGCAAACUGGAGUGUGUGAGAGGAUAGUGGAAUUGCAGGUGUAGGAGUGAAAUGCGUAGAUAUCUGGAGGAACAUCAGUGGCGAAGGCGACUAUCUGGCACAUAACUGACGCUGAGGAGCGAAAGCGUGGGUAGCAAACAGGAUUAGAUACCCGAGUAGUC